UCACUGGGUAAAGUUUGUCCGUUG
rnacentral:miRNA from 2 species